rnacentral:rRNA from 1 species
CUACCUGACCAUACCACCCUGAAUGUGCCUGGUCUUGUAUGAUCUCAAAAGCUAAGCAGGGUUGGGCCUGCCUGGUUAGUACUUGGAUGGG